AAUCUAUCAACCACAUCCUCUUUGACGAUGUGGCUUGGAUUUGGAGGUCGCAGGCCUUUUUUGUAGUCUCUGCUCCUCUGAAAUAUAUAAGCGGUUAUGGGACUUACUGUGCCUAAGAUGUGAUACACAUAUAUCUGCAUCUCUAAAAUCACUGGUAGUCUGUGCCGCUGCAGUGGGCGUUUGGAACAUGACGA
rnacentral:misc_RNA from 1 species